rnacentral:rRNA from 1 species
ACGAGUGAGCAAAGUCACUUUCCCUUCGGGGCAUUGGAGACAGGUGGUGCAUGGUUGUCGUCAGCUCGUGUCGUGAGAUGUUGGGUUAAGUCCCGCAACGAGCGCAACCCCUAUUUCCAGUAGCCAGCAAGAAAGAUGGGAACUCUGGAGAGACUGCCCGGGAUAACUGGGAGGAAGGCGGGGAUGACGUCAAAUCAUCAUGCCCCUUAUGAUCAGGGCUACACACGUGCUACAAUGGCGUAAACAAAGGGAAGCGAAGUGGUGACACGAAGCAAAUCCGAAAAACAACGUCUCAGUUCGGAUUGUAGUCUGCAACUCGACUACAUGAAGCUGGAAUCGCUAGUAAUCGCGAAUCAGAGUGUCGCGGUGAAUACGUUCCCGGGUCUUGUACACACCGCCCGUCACACCAUGGGAGUCGGAAAUGCCCGAAGUCAGUGACCCAACCGAGAGGAGGGAGCUGCCGAAGGUGGAGCCGGUAACUGGGGUGAAGUCGUAACAAGGUAGCCGUAUCGGAAGGUGCGGCUGGA